UGACUAUUUGUUCAGUCAACAAAACCGUGAGGUCUACAACACAGGAGGCCUUGUUCUAGAAGUUGGGAUUACACCAGUGGGCAGACACAAGGCACGUGUGCCCUUGUGAAGCUUAUAGUGUAGAAGGGGAAGACAGCAUUUGUCCUGAGGAAUCCGGGGACGGAGUCUCCCACACAUGUGCAGUUGAUGCAAGAAUGGCCAGGCAGAUGUCAGACACAGCGGUUUUGUAGGCCGAUGAUCCUGAAGCAGAUUUUGUUUCUGUGAGGCACCGGAAACAAACUGUUUCCCCUUUCACAUGAUGCAGCUGUGAGGGCUCUUAAGCGGCCGUCAGAUCUCCGGAGCGUCUCAUCUCACAGAUAUUCUCUCCUUUGAUCCCUCCAAAGACGUCUGAACUCAUAUACCACAGGAGCUAAUUUUCAACUUGGAAAAUUUGAUCAUAAUAAUUGUAGACCUAUAGACUUCUGCCAGUUUGCAAGACAUGUGGAUAAGAUCAUCCCAGGCUGCAAAAACGAGCAAGUGUGAGCCUGGGGCUCGGAGACUUCUCCAGGCGACGUGUCUAGUGAGGAUUCCCACCCCAAGGCUUCCUGUUACUGCAUCUGGAUGGCAUUGUGAUCCUCUACUUAUGACAAGCACAACUGGCUUUCAUCGAUAGCAGCAGUUUUACAAGUGUUUGUUUACAAGUUAAAUGAAUAGUGUGAGUCAAGGCAAAGGAAAAAUAGGAUGCAAAUAGUAGCAGGAAGAUAGUGCUGAGAGGCAGAAAGUAUCGUAGUGGGAAACACUGUGGUUCCGGGGAAGUGUGGCCUGGGUGCUGAUCUAGCUCCUAGCUGUGUGACCAUGGCAAGUCACGCAAACACUCUGUAGUUUCCUCUCUGAAAAAUACGGGAAGUAAUGAACCAACCUUAGAGGCUGCUGUGAUGACUGAAUGAGUUAGCAGGUGGAAAGCAGUACAGCAAGGUCCCUUACCGCACAGAGCACGUGUUCUGUAAGGGUUAGCGAGGAGGAGGAGGAGGAGGAGGGUGAUGGUGAAGGCGACAGUUAUGAGCUUCAGUAGGGUCUUAGCCAUUGAUGUUUAGGCUGAUGGCACAGAAAGAACGGCACAGUGUUUUCCUGAAGAAAGGGAAGCAAAUGCAAGAAGUGAUCCACAUCCACGAUGCCCAGGUUUCUAGGAAACGAGAAACAUUGGGUCCGGAGACUGAAGUGCGUGGUGAAGGUCUAUGUUUCUUUCCAUAGUGACUUCUGCAGGGCAGGCACUUGUCUUAUUAACAGGAAGAAGGGCAGCAUUCACCAAGUGCUGACUCUGGCCCAGGCUUGGGGUGAACACAUUCUAUCCCCGUGCUUCAAAAAUCUGCCUCCAUUUCUCAGAGGGGCGAACUGAGACUCGGCAGAGUUAAACAGUUCAAGGGCAUGACUGCCAAGCAAGCGAUACCGUGCAGCCCUCUAGCUCAUUCUCAUGCCUAAGUCUUGCUUGUGACUCUGGCCACGGUGGCCUGGCCCCCUCUGUGGCUUCUUCCUACAAUGCCUCUCCUAGAUCUGAGUGUGGACGCCUCCCUCUCGCCUGGAUGCAGCUCUAAUGCCACUGCCCACAGGGCCGUCCUGGAUGGCGUUAGUAAAUGCACUGCUGUCGUUCCUCCCAACCCCUGUGCACAGUCCGUUCCAAGACGGCACAACAUGGAAGGCAUGAGCCAAACUCUGGGGCCAGAGCUUUGUGCUCUGGAUGGAAGUUCUAACUCUUGUAUAAACACCCUGUGACUUACUUUCCCUAUUUGCAAAAUGGGAAUAUAACCACAGUUUUCUUGUGAGCUUUCCAUGUAUUAAAUGUAUAUAUAAAGUACUGAAAAUGUCAGGCACGCGGUAAGAACUCAGUAAGCUUAAUAUUUCUUUAUCGUCAUUCUCCACUAGAGCAUAAAUUCUGCAAGGGUGCCACUAUAUACUUGGCUCUUUUGCAUUGCACCUGGUACCUGGGACAUAAUAGGCGCUUACUAAACAUUAGCCCAAUGAGUGAGAGUGUGAGUAAAUGUUUAAGACCUCAGCCCUGCUGGGGGCUUAGUGAUAGAAAGGCGAACAGGAGCCCAACAGCCCCCCGACCCUGGAAGCACACAGCACUCUGUCCCAGGAUGCCAGCCCUUUCCACCCCCCUGGCCCUCCACCCAGCCAGUUCUGGGUACCACCCAUGCUAGGCUCUCUUGCCCUGUUCCGAGAGAGGAGCAUUUGCAGCCAGUCAUUGGAUGCCCUUCAGAUCCUUGCGUGGGACAGAACCACCGUCCUCAUGUCCAAGCUCUAAGCAAUGACAUGGAAGACAGCUGGCCCCUGAGUUUGAGAAGACUUGAGUGCCUUACAGAGAGGCACAGCUGUACUGAGUAAAGCCCCUACUUCCAAAAAGGCUUUGGGAAGACCCAUCCUUUGGCCCUCCUGCCAAAAGGAACGUUCUAUAGUGCUCUUUGCCCUCUCUACCUACCUCUCGCUACCUCUUAAACUUUUAUGCAUCCUCCAAUGCCCAGAUCAAAUUCCGCCUUCUGUUCGGAUGCUUCCCAACCUCCCUGGCUGAGUCAAUUGUUUGUUCUUCGAAGAUCUCAGCUCAUAUUUACCUUCCUUGUGUUACGGUUAGCUUAUUCAUCUAGUCAUUCGCUUACUAAACACGCGCUGAGCUCCUACUACACGUCAGGCUCUGUGCGUUAGGAAGAUAAGCAAGUGGAAGGCCUCUGCCACGUGCAGCCUUCAAACUGAUCCCCAUUGCAGCCCCAGACUUCCUGAAGGCAGAGUCGCAAUUUCCGACCUGUGGCAGAGGGGCCCAUCUGGAGCAGAUGCUCCGCCUCGCAGACCAGAGAUGGAUUAACCGAGUAUGGGAAGGACGCAUAAAUUCGUGCCUCAGAACAUGGGCCGCCUGUGCAAAAGGAGGGCUCCCAACCGGCAAUGUCUUUUUCCCCUUGAAUGAUGAAGGGGGCGCUUUCUGCAAGAAAACCAACAUUGCUCAUCGGGCCUUGGAAUACGACUCCCUCUGACACACGCCUGCCUGGGAAGAUCCAUGCAUGUUGCAGAAAUUUGUAUUCUCACAGGCCUGGAAUGCACCGCUGGACUCAAGGCCUGGAUGCUGAUGUCAAAGCGGGCUGUAAAAGGACUUUUUCCUUUUGCUGACUGGCAUUCAUGAAAGUUCAGCUGGAACUUGCCUCUGGGUUGGGAGUGGGACUCUUGGCACUGCGCAGCUGAUGAGCAGAGAGAUCCGGCAGCAGAAAUCCAACUGCUUCAGAUCUGCAAAUCUCAGCCCCUCCUUUCCCUGGCACGGCUGGUCCCACUGGUCGCUUAUUCUAGACCCCCCCCCACAUUCCCUGUGCUCUUGCCUUCUCUACGGAAGGGGGCUGGAGAAGCGAAAUCCUCAUUUUUCACCUUCUCAGCCUUGCCUCCAUCUCGGUACGGGCGAGUACACAGAUUUGGUGACUGAUGUGCUGAUGGAAUUCUGCAAAAGCAGGGCCCAGGACAUUGUUUGCUUUUCGGGUAAAAAGGGCAAGUUGAGCUUAUAGGGCUCCCCCAAGUCUUGUCUUGCACACAGCCUUACAGAAAAAGGACUGUUUGUCCCCAUCUACUGGCACGAGGGGAUAUGCCCUGGGGAACCCUGGAGACCCUCAGAGGGUUUAGCAUCAGAACAUGCAGAGCAGCUGCUCUUAUUAGAUGCGAGAAAAAUUUGCUCUUGUUAUUUCAGACCCAUGAAGGCUGGGUUCUCUGUUACCUGCAGCCAAACGCAUUUUAUAGUACACCUGUGAUGCCCAGUGUGGAGCCUGCAGAUACGCUUGUUCUGCGGAGACCUUCAGCAGGUCCUGUAGCCAACUUCAAGCCAGGGCCGGACGUAGGGAACAGGAAGCGAAGAAAAGUUAGACUGCCUGAGGCGUGGGUGAGGAACAUCCGCAGGUGUCAAGUCAUUCCCGGGUGGCCAGCAGCUUGGAGUGUCCUGGCCCUGUCACUACUCCACCGAAGGAGCUGAGAGCCCAUGGCACUGGGAGGGAAAGCACGAACGAAGCAAAACCUGGCUGAGUAAAACCAGAACAUGGCGGAGUGGCCUUUUUCCAGGGUAUUGUGUCAUUCAGGGCUUCACGCACUUCCUUUUUCUUACCCAGAUUGGUGGAAGAGAAGGGAAUAAGACCUGGGAACUGCAAGCAGCAUUAAAAAGUCCACUAAAGGUCUUUGCAAUGUAAAAUAAGUUAACAGCUGAGUUUAGGCUUGGGGCUAAAAAUUUCAUAGGUCUGAUAAUUACAAGAGAAGUUUUUCCCUUUUUGUUUUGUUUUGCUUUUCCAAAGGGCAGUGAAAGCGAUGAGGAAGGAAAACAAACAAUGUGGCAGGUUAGGCAGGAACCAGAGAGCAAGUUUUUUUCUUUCUUUUUUUUGGGUAUCAGAGAUUGAACUCGGGACCUUGCGCUUGCGAGGGAAGCAGCAGAACCACUGAGCUACAUCCCUGGCCCGAGGAACUUUUCAAUUACGCAUAUUACGAUACAAAUGCUACGAGUAGUUCAAUGUAUGGCGCAAGAACAUUAAGCCACCCAUAGGGAACUCUGAACGAAAUUGUUUGCUCUAAUCAUCUCCACUCUUGUAUAUGUUUACUAUAAAAUUCUGUUGAAUUAAAAUGUGUGAGGAUUAAUAAAGGAGAAAGGGCCAUGUCUACCUUGCGUCAACUCUAGGAAAGUGACGAAAGAGUUGCUACAAGGAAAAACAAAGCAGAAAAAGGAAUUCUGCCGAAGCAAAAAAAUAAUAGUAAACAUGUAUCAAGUACUCACUGAGUGGCAAGUCCUGAUUGGAGUAGUUGAAAGUGUAAUUUACUUAAUCUGCCCAACAGCUCUACAAAGCUCUAUAAAUUGAUUUCGCAGAUGGGGAAAUGGAGGAACGGAGAAGUUACCUAUCCCGUCCAAGGCGCAGCCAUCUAUUCUAGCAGUCUGCUGGCACAUCUGUGUUCUUAACUCAGCACUGUCUACGGCCUCUGUCAGAGCCGAAGUGACGAAGAAAAGUUUCUGGGAUUUCAAGAUGGGGUGGGAAUGUUAGUUUGUCUCAAUUGCCUGAAAACACCUCAAUCACUUGAAAACUUCCCGUAAUCGCUGUCUGAAAUACGAUCCCAUCUUCCUAGAAAAUACAGUUCAUCUCACGGUCUGUUUCAAUUACCUUCCAGCUUUGUUUUUGAAGACGAAAAUAUGGAACAAUUUCCCAUGUUGCCUAAAAUCAAAUGAAGCCUUUUAAAAAUUGUAAAAUCGGUUUUCAAGAGAAAUAUUUGUCUAACCAAAAAACCGCUUCUCUGAUGAAGCAAUUAAGCCUCAAUAAAACAGACCGUUAUCAUUGCUUAAAGACCAUUUAAAAUGCAAAGCGGAAGCAGAACUUGACUGGGGCCAUGAAUUCAUCCAGCUCUCCGUGGGUAUCUAAAGUUCUGAAAUUUUCUCAAAUUGCACAUGUGGUUUUUAAGUAUUUAAAUACUUGAGCUUUUGCCUGUGCGUACUGCAAAAAAGACAAAGAGAUCUUUGCUGUCUUUUGGCUAACUGACACGCAGGCCUGCACCUGAAAAUUAUUAUUUUAUAAGGUACAUGCGGCUGGAAGGGGCCAGGGCCUCAAGGAGAAAGAACACGAAGUUCUUUAUUUUUAUAGGUGUGCGCAGAAAUUAGCUAUGACUUCACUACCUGCCACCUCUCAUGGGGGGUGUGGCUCCCAGAGAUUCCGCUCCUGCUACUUUAAGUAAUGACACGGGGUUCCUGCACAGCAAGAGGUAGAUUUUAC
rnacentral:lncRNA from 1 species